GUCCGACCGUGCAACCUCGCCCACGGUUCGAUUCCUGGCCACCUCCCCUGCGUAUCUUUCAUUUUCUUCCAAAAAAGAAACGACAUCCUCGAGGGAGGCUGCUCGCAUUCCAAAUCUCACGAUCCCUAAUCCUGGUGCCACCACAAUCUUGCCGCAAGCCCCUGGAACAUCUACACCCACUUCUCCGCCGUUGGCGUCGAGAUUGCACGCCGCGGGGAAGGCGCUCGCGUCAGCGGUUCGAGGCCACCCGUCGUAGCCGCUCCCAUUGCUGCCGCAGGCGGUGGCUUUGCCUAGGAAGAGAGCCUUCCCUACCAGUUCAACAACGCAUCUCCAUCUAGGCAGGCACCCCUCCAAGGUCACACGACACAUCUCCGUCUUCCCCAGCGGCGGCCGUAGCUCAGCCCCUGCAACGAGUGAGCUCCCCGGCGGCGGCCGUAGCAGGCUCCUUUCCAAGGUCACGCAUGGGCUCCGUCUUCCCUAGCGAGCUGCACCUAGGCGAGGCCACGAUGGACCUGGCGGGUGCUCGUCCAAGGAUCCGUGCGGUGGUGAGUCAGGAUGGAUGAGGGGCCCUCGCACCACCAGAAAGGAUUUGAUCCACAAUGGUUGGCAAAUGCACUGCAGACGAUGAACUUAUCUGGCGCCACCAUCGAGAGCCUUGACUACGAGUUCAUCAUUAGCAAUUUGUCUGUAUAAAAGGAUCAGAUGCCCUUUCAAAACACUUGAAUAAUUAUAGAUUAUUAAUGGCUAAGCAAAAGCAUUUCUGCUAGAGUGCACACUUUAUGCUGCAAAUGCCAGGAUGUGAGACAUUGUCACAUCUUGUACUGCUGGCUAACUAUCUGUGUUCUCUCAUAAGAAUCAAAAUCGGUCACAAAAUAAGAUGGUCUAAUUGCUGAGUUUUGUUAUUUUUAUGUGUAUGUUUGAUCAUUUUCUAUGAGAAGAGCCAUUUCACCUAGGUGUAUGGUUCUAAAUAGCAUAUGUAUGACUUUCUUAUGGUCAUUGUUUGUGAUCUAAAAAUAAUCAUCUCUGUCCCUACGUAAACCAAUGUUUGUAGAAUAAUAUAUAGACUGACUGUGCUAUAUGUUUGCUUUUGUUACAAUGAUGAUAUUCUUGACUAACAUGUUUGCCCCUACAUAACCCAAGUUUGCUGAUGAGGACAAUCUCUUGUUCCUCGCUGAGAACUGAAAUUUCUUCUCCCUAUCCCUUUGAUCUUGUCUGGCUAUUUCCCGUGAGAAACUGUCCUUUGACCUUAUAAUUAGGGCCUUAUUGAUGCUAAAGGUUAAUUAGAUUAUGGUAGAAGUAGGAGGCAUUAUAUAUUCACGUCAGAUCCUCUCGAAUUUGCUUAGUUAAAGAUAGUUUUCAUCCUAGGUGAAUGUGUUUGCUUUUCGUUUAAUUUCAGUAGGUAGGUUCCACAUUCCUGUAAGCUAUGGAUGCUUUCCUCAUUUUCUCUUAUGAGUUUUUGUGAUGUUCAUUUGUAAUGUGUGAUCGCACUGAUAGUUUAGGAACAGCCACAUUAGCUAAUGAACUUCCAUUCUGAAUUGGCCAGUGAAAAAGCAAUCACAAAUUAGGAAAAAAAAGAUAUGUCUAAACUGAUGAUAGUGUAUGAGAAUUUGAUAGGCUGUGCCUGUGGCAAUUUAUGGUGCAAUGCUGAAGCUGCUAUUGUGCCCUUUUUUCUGUAGUUUUCAAGGUUUAACUAAGAUAUUGCAGAUAAGUUUUCAUACAGAGGUUUUCCUGACACUAAAAUAGUAUAUUUUUAUUGAUUAUUUAGUUAUUGUUUGUGGUUAUGUCAUCUUUAUUAUAUUUUUCUGUAUAGAGUGAAGGUCUGGUACUGCGACGGUGGAUCUUUCACUGGUGUGGUUCUCAUGCAGCUGCAGGCCUUUAUCUCCGAGGUCAGUGCAUUUGGUGGGCUGCUAUGGAUGACUUAAUAGUCCAAGGACAACUCACCAUAGUUCACCCAUGCUGCUCCAAAUUCCUACCUUUAUGUGUUCAGAUCUACUUUAAAAUAAGUUUAUUGUGCACACAAUGUCCUUUGUUUUUAUCUGGGUGAGCACCUUUGGAAUACGAUUCAAAAUCCUUGGAGGGCAUCCUUCCGAAAAUCUUAAAUGGGUUGCAAAUGCAAAUAUCAACUGUUAGUAUCAUAGCUUUUGUUUUGAAAGCUACUAUCCAGGUAAGAAAAGUAUUGUCAUAAGCUGCAUUUAAAAUUGAUAUUCACUUGGUCAUUUGUCGAGUGGAUCUAAGUGAAAUCUAUUUUUUUAUGAGAUUAUUCACUUAGUCAUUUGUCGAGUUGAGCUAAGUGAAAUCUGUUUUUUUGUGUAGGAUUAUUCACUUAGUCAUUUGUCGAGUUGAAGUGAAAUCUGUUCCUUUAUAUGAGAUAUUGCAGACUUGCAGUUGCAGAUUAUGGAUUUACAUUUUUUUUUUGCUUCACUACGUAUUACCCUGAAGCCCCAUCUGCUUGGUUGAUUUUAACCCCAAUAUACAAGGUGGACAUGCAGAUAGAUGGCCAUGUAUCCUCACAGGGUACUGAUUGUCCAAAUUUUAGGCAUGGAAGAACAUGGAAGCUGGAGGUGGCAAUGGUAAAUUGACCGGAGCCGUCGUCGGCACCGUUGAGCUCUAGAACCCAGGUGCACCGAGUACUAUGUUAUGCCGAAUGGAGCCUACUGGUCGGAGUGUGAGUGGAAGCCACCGUCAGAGGUGGUCGGCGACUGCGCGCUGGUUCCAGAACGCGUACAAGGAGGCUCGCAACGGGACAUCGCCAACCCCCAAGAACGAGUACAAGGUACAUGGGGAUUUGAUUCAGCUUCCAUGGAUGUCAUUUCAUAGAUAUAUGAAUGGAUUGAUGAAGGGUGUUUCUGUUGUUCCUGGAACCACCAUUCUUCAGGGCAGUAGCGUUGCAUUUUCAUGAUAAGAGCAAGACGACACAUAUACUUCAGUAUGUUGCUUUGGAGCUGCGAUGCUCUUGUCAUUGGAAGACCCAUCAGCCAGAACAGAGAGGGGAAGCAACAAAAAUGGAGGCAGGGAGAAGGAAGAAAUAUGUUGCAGCGCUGUUGCCCUGUGGUGCUCGCUACUGAUGUCUAACGGGCCAGGAUUGACGAAAACAAGGAUUGGAAGGAAUGGAUUCGCAACGAUGAUUCCAUUUUCCUCAAUGUUGAGAUGGGUAUCCUACAAAAAUUACUAAGUACAGAUGUUGUUGAGAUUCAUUAAAGUAUCCAGUUUUCUCACUUUUCUUAUUUUAUUUUUUCACUUUCUUAUUUCUGAAGUCCAAUAUCUUUUAACACACAAUAAUGCAUGGUUUUAUUUCAUUAUUUUGUGAAUUUGUGUUUCCUGCACAUUUAUCCCUGUUUUUUAACUUUACAAAUUUACCCUUAUUUUUUGAAUAUGAAGCUUUCACUUGCUUCUAUUCUGUGAAAAAGACAUAAUAACGAUAUUAAAUGAGGACUGAAAAAGACACAAAUAUCCUUGACAUGAGUGACUCAAUAAUCAAUAUGACUUUUUAUGUACAAACUUAUUGUGUAUGUAUUUUGAAGAAAUGACAUCACAUAUUUUUUACACACACGAAUAUUAGCUUUGUCAUCUCUGUUGACUAUUUCAUCGUAACUCAUAAGGCUUGAUCCAUUCUUUGGUUUUUUUGAACAGGGCCCAUACCUUAACUAAUAAAAUUAUAGAAACAAAGAAAAAAUUGGAGGAAGCUCAUUCAGAUUAAGGCCGCACUCAGGCUUAGGUCCAUCACGGCUUCAGGCCACAUGCGAGUGGAGAACAGCAGCGUGGGCACGGCAGCGGGAUGAGCUCCGCGCCUACGCCUGGCGCACCGUGGAUCCUCUGCGUCACCUGCUGCGCCAUGCUGCUAGCAGUCGUGCCACGCGCCCACGCUCGCGCGCAGCCCCCUUGCCCCGCCGCCGACCCUAUCGUCCGCAUUUCUCACGUCACGGGAUGAGAGAGGGAAAAGAUCAGAUCAUAUGUUUUAGAUAAGGGAUAAGCAUAAUAGUAUUUUUCAUUUCCUUCUUAUUUUCCAAACAAUUUUUUUGACCCAUUAUUAAACAGCAACUCACAUAAUUGGAAAACAAGGGCA